ACGGGAGGCAGCAGUGGGGAAUAUUGCGCAAUGGGCGCAAGCCUGAUGCAGCGAUGCCGCGUGAGGGAAGAAGGUUUUCGGAUUGUAAACCUCUGUCAUCGGGGACGAUAAUGACUGUACCCGAGAAGGAAGCUCCGGCUAACUACGUGCCAGCAGCCGCGGUAGUACGUAGGGAGCGAGCGUUAUCCGGAAUUACUGGGUGUAAAGGGAGUGUAGGCGGGACUGUAAGUCAGAUGUGAAAUAUGCCGGCUCAACUGGCAGACUGCAUUUGAAACUGCGGUUCUUGAGUGAAGGAGAGGUAAGCGGAAUUCCUAGUGUAGCGGUGAAAUGCGUAGAUAUUAGGAGGAACAUCAGUGGCGAAGGCGGCUUACUGGGCGUUAACUGACGCUGAGGCUCGAAAGCGUGGGGAGCAAACAGGAUUAGAUACCCUGGUA
rnacentral:rRNA from 1 species